rnacentral:rRNA from 1 species
UACGUAGGGGGCAAGCGUUGUCCGGAAUCAUUGGGCGUAAAGAGCGUGUAGGCGGCCCGGUAAGUCCGCUGUAAAAGUCAAAGGCUCAACCUUUGAAUGUCAGUGGAUACUGCCGGGCUAGAGUCCGGAAGAGGCGAGUGGAACUCCUGGUGUAGCGGUGGAAUGCGCAGAUAUCAGGAGGAACACCGAGGGCGAAGGCAGAUCUCUGGGCCGUAACUGACGCUGAGGAGCGAAAGCGUGGGGAGCGAACAGG